UACGGAGGGUGCAAGCGUUAUCCGGAUUCACUGGGUUUAAAGGGUGCGUAGGAGGGCAGGGAAGUCAGUGGUGAAAUCUCCGGGCUUAACUCGGAACUGCCGUUGAUACUCUCUGUCUUGAAUACCGUGGAGGUGAGCGGAAUAUGUCAUGUAGCGGUGAAAUGCUUAGAUAUGACAUAGAACACCAAUUGCGAAGGCAGCUCGCUACACGAAUAUUGACUCUGAGGCACGAAAGCGUGGGGAUCAAACAGG
rnacentral:rRNA from 1 species